rnacentral:rRNA from 1 species
UACGUAGGUGGCAAGCGUUGUCCGGAUUUACUGGGCGUAAAGAGCGCGCAGGCGGUCGUUCAAGUCGCGUGUGAAAGCCCCCGGCUCAACUGGGAGGGUCGACGCGAUACUGAUCGACUCGAAGGCAGGAGAGGGUAGUGGAAUUCCCGGUGUAGUGGUGAAAUGCGUAGAUAAUCGGGAGGAACACCAGUGGCGAAGGCGACUACCUGGCCUGUUUCUUGAC